AGAUCUUGCCGAUUUCAACGUUUUUCCACCUCUUCGGUUGGCGUACGCUGAACUGGACCCUCGCAGCAAGAAUGGCACGUGGGAAUUGACACCGCGAUCGUGGAACACAUGGCUGAUCUGCCUCGAAUAACUGCAAGCCGGCGCGUGCGUAGUGCCGUGGAGAACAAUCAGAAGUCCUGGACGACAAAGAAAAAAACUUCAAAGCUGCCUCUGCGAACCCCGCUCCUGGACAACAGCUGGGAGGCUCUGUGUUUAAACGCGUGCACCUUGGACGUCAUGCUCCUGCCUCUGCAAGCCCUUUUGCUGGACGCC